rnacentral:rRNA from 1 species
AUUGAACGCUGGCGGCAGGCCUAACACAUGCAAGUCGAGCGGAUGAGAGGAGCUUGCUUCUCGAUUCAGCGGCGGACGGGUGAGUAAUGCUUAGGAAUCUGCCUAUUAGUGGGGGACAACAUCUCGAAAGGGAUGCCAAUACCGCAUACGUCCUACGGGAGAAAGCAGGGGAUCACUUGUGACCUUGCGCUAAUAGAUGAGCCUAAGUCGGAUUAGCUAGUUGGUGGGGUAAAGGCCUACCAAGGCGACGAUCUGUAGCGGGUCUUAGAGGAUGAUCCGCCACACUGGGACUGAGGCACGGACCGUACUCCUACGGGAGGCAGCAGUGGUGAAUAUUGGACAAUAGGCGGAAGCCUGAUCCAGCCAUGCCGCGUGUGUGAAGAAGGUCUUCGGAUUGUAAAGCACUUUAAGUUGGGAGGAAGGGCAGUAAGCGAAUACCUUGCUGUUUUGACGUUACCGACAGAAUAAGCACCGGCUAACUCUGUGCCAGCCGCCGCCGUAAAAC